AAAGUCGUAACAAGGUUUCCGUAGGUGAACCUGCGGAAGGAUCAUUACAGAGUUCAUGCCCUCACGGGUAGAUCUCCCACCCUUGAAUAUAUUACCUUUGUUGCUUUGGCGGGCCGCUUCGUCCACCGGCUUCGGCUGGUGAGUGCCCGCCAGAGGACCCCAAAUUCUGACUUAUAGUGUCGUCUGAGUACUAUAUAAUAGUUAAAACUUUCAACAACGGAUCUCUUGGUUCUG
rnacentral:misc_RNA from 1 species